UGGGGAAUUUUGCACAAUGGGGGAAACCCUGAUGCAGCGACGCCGCGUGAUUUAGAAGGCCUUCGGGUUGUAAAAAUCUUUUGUAUAGGAAGAAAAUGACAGUACUAUACGAAUAAGGACCGGCUAAUUACGUGCCAGCAGCCGCGGUAAUACGUAAGGUCCGAGCGUUGUCCGGAAUCAUUGGGCGUAAAGGGUACGUAGGCGGGUAAGCAAGUUAGAAGUGAAAUCCUAUAGCUCAACUAUAGUAAGCUUUUAAAACUGCUCAUCUUGAGGUAUGGAAGGGAAAGUGGAAUUCCUAGUGUAGCGGUGAAAUGCGCAGAUAUUAGGAGGAAUACCGGUGGCGAAGGCGACUUUCUGGCCAUAACCUGACGCUGGGGUACGAAAGCGUGGGUAGCAAACAGG
rnacentral:rRNA from 1 species